UACGAAGGUGGCGAGCGUUGUCCGGAUUUAUUGGGCGUAAAGCGCGCGCGGGCGGUGCGGUAAGUCUGUCGUGAAAUCUCCCGGCUCAACUGGGAGGGUGCGGUGGAGACUGCCGGACUAGAGGCACUCAGAGGCCGGUGGAAUUCCCGGUGUAGUGGUGAAAUGCGUAGAGAUCGGGAGGAACACCAGUGGCGAAGGCGGCCGGCUGGGGGUGACCUGACGCUGAGGCGCGAAAGCGUGGGGAGCGAACAGG
rnacentral:rRNA from 1 species